CCCUGAUAUCAGCGGCGGACGGGUGAGUAAUUGUGGGUAACCUGCCUGUAAGACUGGGAUAACUCCGGGAAAUCGGGGCUAAUACCGGAUAACUCAUUUCCUCGCAUGAGGAAAUGUUGAAAGGUGGCUUCUGCUAUCCCUUUACGAUGGACCCCCGGCGCAUUAACUUGUUGGGGAGGUAACGGGUCACCCAAGGAACCAUGCCUAACCCAACUGAAAAGGUGAUCCGCCACCCUGGGACUGAAACCCCGGCCAAAAUCCUACGGGAAGGAACAAUAAGGAAUCUUCCCCAAUGGAACAAAGUCUGAACGAACAACCCCCCGUGAGUGAAGAAAGGUUUCCGAACCUAAAACUUUUUUUGUUAGGAAAAACCAGUGGCCUUCCAAUUAGGGGGCCCCCUGACCGGACCUUACCCAAAAGCCACCGGUUACUUCCUGGCCACCACCCCCGUUAUACCUAAGUGGGAAGCGUUUUCCCGAAUUAUUGGGCGUAAAG
rnacentral:rRNA from 1 species